rnacentral:tRNA from 1 species
GGGGCUGUGGCUUAGUGGUAGAGCAUCUGCUUGGCUUGCAAAAGGUCCCAGGUUCACUCUCUGACAUCUCAA